rnacentral:lncRNA from 1 species
AUCUAGGCAUGAGAUUUUAUCUCAUGGAACCUACCUUUAUUCAAUAAUAUGUUCCUCUUUAAAAAAAAACGUGAUCUGGAGAAGGAGGCAAACACAUAAAUAACCAUUGUGUGGGAAAUUAAAGCCCUUUGAAAGAAAAAGAAAAGCAUAUCCUUCACUGGAUUUGUACUAUACAGUAUAGGGGCUCAAAAUCCCUGCAUAUGAAUUUAAGUUUGAGUUAACCUGGACGAUGUCUUCGGUGGUUCAGUUUGAAACUGAACCACCAUGGUGCAGGUACUGUUCCACACUUAAAGUACCAAAAUGCCCAUUUAUUUUUUUCACCUCCGUUCCUUCUCCUCUACUCCCACAGUCUCUCCUAGAUUGUCUCCUGCGACAUGUGUCGUUGUCACCCUCCACGACGUCCGCCCCUCCACCACCUCCUCCGAUCCAAUCUUUCCUCUUUCACUGUCAGCGAAAAUGCCUGAAGAGGUUUAUACCCUCUGACCAGUCAUGGAAUUGGUCCAUUACCUCAACAAACACAUCCCAUGGACUAGACCCACCAUUCGUGUCUUCAGUUCAUUUUUCUCCUGCUCACUCUCUUAUCCGCACCUUCCGUCAAAAUCUAUUCUUUUUUUGUUCAGAUCCACAUCAAUUUAUGGGCUUCCUUCAAAAUCUUCUUCUUUUUGUUCACAUCCGCACCACCUCACCAUCUCUUUUCCUUUCACCUCCCUUCGUUCUAUGUCCUCCAAACUAUGUCGAACCCCGGCCCUCUCUUCAGCUUCCUUUAUCUUCUCCACACGAAGAUCUUCAGGAACUUGACAUGCAAAGUGAAAUCUUAUCCCAAGAAGCUCUGAUAUGGGAAGAACAAAGGCCUUCUGAAGAACCUAACAAUAAAUCCAUAACCACCAUCUAAAAAAAUGGAAAAAAAUCAGAGAGCCAAACACACUUCUUCUAUUGGACUUUCUAUGUCCUGGGUUUGCAAUUCAACGAUGCUUGCUUCAAUAAUUAACUAGUUAAGUGCUUCAAUCAUUCGGUACCAAUUUGGGAUUAGAGUUAUGAUUUUGAGUAAUUUCAAUAUAAUAACAUUUGGGGGUAAAAGAAGAGGCAAAUUCAUGGAUGAAAGAGAUGAACCGGAAGAGAUGGAGUGGUGGCUUAGGUGGGAAGCACAGUGGUAUGCCUUGAGCUUGGUGGCAGAGAUGGAGUGAGAACGGAAGAGGGGUUCACUGUACCAGUGAGGAAGUAGAUCAAGGGUAUUUUUGUUAUUGUGAUUAUUUUAAACCUUCAAUCUGAAUCACCUAAUAUUUAACCAAUAAAUCCAACGGUGGAGAAUAGAAUGUACCACGAUGGGUCAGUUUCCAACUGUCCCACCGAAGCCAAAACCGUUAACCAGGGUCAUUUUGGCUUUCUUCAUUAAUAAUGUUUUACUAUGGAGCAUUGUGAUUUUGUUUUCUUAAUGCUCUUAUUAUAAGGUUUCUUUUUUCUUCAUGGAUGUUCCAUUUAGCAAUGUUUAAAUUAGACUGGUCAUUGAAUCAGCUGAGACUCCAGUCUAAAGUUUAAUGAUCUAACUGUGGUUGAAUUGAAAUUAAUUAAAUAAUAUACUUUAAAAAUAUAUAAUAUAUAAAAUCAUAAUGAAUAUAAAAUAAAGCAUUUAUAAUGGAAAAUAAAAAAUUACAUAACAUAAUAUUGCGUUAUCUAGGUACAAAUAUAUAUUCCAAUACAUAAUUUAUCUUACGAGAAUAAUUUUUUUUAUAUGAAAACAUAUGAAAUUAUAAUUGUUAAAUCUAAUAAUGAAUGAUCAAAGUUAAAACAUUAAGUCAUAAGCUUUGUAAGUGGUCACGUGAUUAUCACAAGACUAUUAAAUUAUUUAAUCCUUAAUUAUUUAUGAUUAAAUAACGAUCAUGAUUUGAGUAUGAUAACUUUCAUAUAAGAAUGUUUUGAUAAAUAAAUGUUUUCAUUUUAAAUUAAUAUAUAAAAUUAUUAAAUUUUAUUUCCUUCUUUUUUUCUUUUUCUUUUUAGUUAAAAAGUAAUAAUAGUAGUUUUCUAUUGAUGAUAUUUGUUUAGACUCUUUAAAUUCAUAAGAUUAGAGUAGAAAGGAUAAAACCAAGAAGAAUUGGAGAACAAAGUAGAAUGAAAAUCAUAGUGACCUUUCCCCACUGCUCGAACCAACUCUAGACAAUCAACUCCACAAACAACCUUCUUCCAAUUGUGACGUCAGAGAAACUUCAAACCCAAUAACAAAGCUUGUAUUUCCGCAUAAAAGGGAUCCCCACCAGCAGCACCCGCAUAAAAACCUCCAAGUCAGGCCCCUGUGGAAUCACGAACAAGACCCCCCAUUCCCAUUUGAUGUUGAACAUGAUUGAAACCCCCAUCCACCAUACACGAAACAAACCCACUUGGAGAUGGCUUCCCGCUAGCCCGUGUCCGCAACUCAUUGAGUUUACUACUUAAUUUUUUUUUUUUUUUUUUUGAUAUGCAAAGAAUAUAUUGAUUAAGCACAAGGGGUGCUAACCCAUAUGCAUAGAGAGAAAAGAAAGAAGGAAGCUAGUGUAAAGUUCCCACAAAAAUUGACUAGCCAAACCCCACCCUACAAUGAAAACAAACUAAGUCUGGGUACCGUAAGUAAUCAAAUUAGCAAAGCUCCCCCCACAACAUGACUAUACUAGCCAAUAAUUGCUGCAACAUUGAAUAUGGACCUGACAUACUCCUAAACACACCCAGCUCACAACAGACAUUGGAACUAAACUAUCACAGCAACCUCUACGGCCCUGGCAUGACAGCAUCUCCCCAAGAUAUCUGUCCCCAAGACACUACAGGGAGUGAAUACAAGCAUCUAGGCAAUUUUUUCAUUCAAAUAACGAGAACCCCACCCCCUUCAUCUUAUGCCGGAUCCAAUUCCAAGAGCGAAACUGAAUUAUAUCUAACAAAUAAUCCUUAUCAAACACUGCAUCUCUAAAAAUUAGGCUUAAUUCCACUUUGGGCCCCUGAUCUUUUAAAAAUGAGCGAUCGGGGCCCCCCGUGUUUAAACGUAGCGGUCAGGCCCCCUGAUAUCUCUAAAACGUGCGAUCCAAGCCCUUCCGUCUGUUUCCGUUAGUUGACCAAACGGAGCUUCAUUUCUCAUUCUUCUACUCAAUAACAACAAUUAAACACAAAUCAAAGCCCAGAACAAAAACACGAUGAUUCUGUCAUUCUGUGCAACAAUUAUAAUCUAGUGAGGAACCCAGAAAUCAAAGCCCACAGAUCCCCAUCUUCUUCUUCCUCUCUAUUCUUCUAUGCAAGCACCUCCAGAUUUCUUCCGCUUUUCUUCUUCUUCUUCUUCUUCUGAUCCAGAAAAACCAUUCAACCCAUAAAUCGAUCUGCCCCAAACCUAGAAACCCAAACCCAAAAAAUCAACCCAUUAACCGUUGAACCCCAAAACCCCAAAUCCAGAGAAAACUGAAACUCCAAUUUAAAACCCCGAAUCCAGAGAAGUACUGAAGAAGGGUCUAAAGGGUUGUUGAUUUGGGGAUUUUCCAAGAGAGAAGAUGGAUCGAGCAAGGUGGAGGUGGUGGCUGAAAUUAGGGUUGUUUCUCAUCAUGUUGGUGAUGAUGAUGCUCGCGGGACUGAAGGAGGUGGCGGCGUCAUCGUGGCUGCUGGCGGUGGUGGCUAGCUUGGGUGAUGCCAGGGUGGUUUGCACAUGGAAGGAGAAGAAGAGAAAGAUCAGGACAGGAACGGUGGUGAUGGUGUAGCCUCUGGAAGGAGAGUGACCAAGCGGUGGUGGUUGUCAUCAGGAGGAGAAGAAGGUGUUGGUAGUGCUGCAACCUUAGGGAAAAUAAUCAGAAGAAGAAGAAAAUGGGUCUUGGAGAGGAAGAGAGAAAGAGUCGAGAGGUUGAGGGAGAGCGUGAGUGAGUGAACGCGUGAGGGAGAGAGAGAAGAGAGUGAGAGGAAAUCCACGUCAAUUAAUGAAAGGGCCUCCGUUUGGUCAACUAACGGAGCUUAACAGAAGGGGCUGGAUCGCACGUUUUUGAAACGUUAGGGUGCCUGACCGCUACGUUUAAACACGGGGGGCCCCGAUCGCUCAUUUCUGAAACAUCAGGGGCCCAAAGUGGAAUUAAGCCUAAAAAUUAUAUCAUUCCUAUGGAUCCUGUUUAUUUUUAAUUUUAAUCAUUGGUUUUCAAACACCUCACACGCUAAGGUGAACUAAAAUCACAUAAAAAAUUUAGCAUUAAUCUCACAAGUCACAAUUAAUCUUCUUUUGGCAUCACACGCUAUGUCUAUGUUCACUUAAUUUGUGGCAUACUGAAUUCUCCACCCCAAAAAGCACGCAACUUUAACUUGUGUCUAUUUCAUGUCCUUGGAAGACCAUUAAGUCAACAUUAUUUAAUUUGAUUGAAUUUAAGAGCACCCCUCCGGUCUUCGUCUUCGUCCACUCCUUGUUUGUAUAUGCAUAUUGCAUAUAUGCAUGGCUCCCUUCCUUCCACACGCUAUAUCAAAAUUACGUUCUGGUUUCCUAUGUUUUUCUCCAAUCAAGGACAAUAUUGAUAAUGACAAUUGAGAAUCAAUAAUUUUUCAUUUUUUAAAGUACUAUAUAUUUAAUUAUUUAUUAUUUAACACGAAAAUUAUUAUCAAAUAUGGGUGAAAUUCAUUCUUUCACGACAUGGAUUUAAAAAUAAGAAGAUAGAUGAGAACUUUUCAAUUUUGGUAAACAUUUCAUUUUAUUUGAUAAUUUUUACUAAAUAAAAUAAGAAGUUUACAUAUAAACUAAAAAGAUUUAUCCCCGAAUGAUAGCUCAAUUUAUGUUUUUAAUGUAAAAAAAAAAAAACUUUAGUAUUUUUUUGAAUAAAAGUCGGUACCUCAUUGAUGUGCUUGCAGAAGAAGGGUCGGGCUACCGAAGUAAAUGCAAAAAGUAAAAGAAAAUAAUUAAAUGUAUAUUUGAAAACUCUUAUAUAAUUAAUUUUAAAUUUAAAAAAUUCUUAUACAAUUAGUUUCUAUAUAGCCAAAUUCAUUAUAUGAAAAAAGAAGUUUGUUGAGUAGAGCUCAUAGACACUGUCAAGUGGGCAAUGGGUCGUGGUCCGCGGAAGAAGUUUGUUGGGUACGAUUUAGGGGUAUUAUUGUAAACUGGAUCAUUAAUAUCCCUAUAUAUAUUUGUAACACUGAAACCCUAACUAUUGUAUUUAGAAUGAAUCAAUAAACAGAACUAUAGCUGCUCUAUAGUCGCAGACGUAGGAAAUUUGGCCGAACAACGUGACCAAAGCUUUUGUGUGUUUCUCUCUACUAUGUUCUGUAUUCGUGUUGUUGUUCUAACAAAGUUAAUGAGGUUUGUCACAAAGGCAUCUCAAAACAUUAUCGAGAAUGUGAGGUUUGAAAUGUGAUAUUUGAUCUCAGGUUUAGUACAAGUUUUAAAAAUUCAAUUUUCGGGUAUAAUGAAUUCCCGGACAUGCAAGUAAUUAAGUUACACAUAUUUUUUAUAAAUUUAUUCUCAUGUCAAAGAGUACGAAUCUUUCAUUCUCAUCUAACAUUUCCGCCACUGCGCCACAUCAACAAUUUAUUAAUUUACUAAUUAAAAUUAAAAAGAUUUGCAACUAGUUAGUCCUAUAUGACAUAAUGUGAUUGGACAUUGGUAUAAAACUUCUUUACACUGACGAUGCAUAUUCAUUAAUCUCAUAUAUAAAUAUCAAACAUGUUUUUCAUUCUGCUCCGUAAUGACCUUAUAAUGAGAUUCUUGAUAAACAUCAUCCAUGAUUUCUUGCAAUAUCAUUCCAAAACUUGUAACAAAACGCUUGUUCAUUGAUGUUUGUUCCAACUUUUUUUUUUUUGAGCAAAUUCCAACUUUCUUUUAUCAUUUGAUUGAAUUUAGCGGCCUAACCAUCGAGCUCAAGUUUGCGUCCACUCCUUGAAGGCAUAUGGAUCAUUCCCACAUACUAUAAAUCGAAUUAAUUAGUUAUGACAGUUAGAAUGUAAUAUAUAUGUAUAGGUUGUUUCUAUGAUACUCACAAUGUAUCAUACAUAAAUGAUGUGACGAUUAAAGAAUUUACAUCCAGUGAAGAAUUUUUUUGGGCUCAACAGGCUAAAUCAAAGUGGCUGAGACUUGGUGAUAGGAACACCAAGUUCUAUCACCAAAGUGCUCUCUGUAGACAGCAGAAAAAUUAGGUUGAGGCUCUCUUAAAUAAUGAUAAUCAAUGGAUCUUUGAAGGAAAGGAGCUUCAAGAUAUGUUUGUUCAGUAUUUCCAAACUUUAUACUCUGAUAAUCAAGGCCCAGAUGUUGACUUUCAGACCUCUUCUACCCAUCCUAUUCUGAAUGAGGAGGAUAGUCAAGACAUGAUGAGGAGUAUAUCCCUUGAAGAAAUCAGAAGUGCUUUAUUUGGUAUUGGAAACCUCAAAUCUCCUGGCCCGGAUGGAUUUCAUGCGAUUUUCUUUAAGCACAACUAGGAAAUUCUCAAAGAGAGUAUAGAAACCUUUAUUCUCACUGUGUUUAUGCGCCCUGAAUCAGUUGCUGAAGUGAAUCAAACAGUCAUUGCCCUCAUUCCCAAGGUGGACUCUCCGGAGAGAGUAACCCAAUUCCGUCCUAUCUCUCUUUGUAACACCAUUUACAAAGUGAUUACUAAAAUCUUGGCCAGUAGGAUGACUAUUUCUCUUCCUGAUUUAGUGUCUCCUAAUCAGUCAAGCUUUGUUAAAGGUCGAAGUACUACAGAUAAUAUUCUCAUUUUUCAAGAAGUGAUUCACUCCAUGAGGACUAUGCGUGGUAAGAAGGGGUACAUGGCCAUUAAACUGGACUUGGAAAAGGCCUAUGAUCGCUUGAGGUGGCCUUUUAUCAUUGAUACUCUUAAAUUCUUUGGCUUUGAUGACAGAUUUAUUAAACUAAUUGAGUGUUGCAUUUCUUCUUCAUCAAUUGCUAUUGCUUGGAGAGGAAAGUAUACUGAUGCCUUCAAGCCAACUAGAGGUAUUAGACAAGGAGACCCGAUCUCCCCUUAUCUCUUCGUGUUAUGCAUUGAAAGGCUUGCCCUUGCAAUCCAGGAUGCUUGUUCAGCAGAGAGAUGGAAACCCCCCAGAAUUGGAAGGGCAGGACCACCUCUAUCUCAUCUCUUAUUUGCAGAUGAUGUGGUCCUCUUUGCGGAAGCUUCUCAAGACCAAGCUUUGGUUAUUGAGGAUAUCCUCAAUAAAUUUUGUGGAGCGUCUGGACAAAAGGUCAGCCCACCUAAAUCCAAAGUUUAUUUCUCUAAAAAUGUGGCAGAGACCGUGGCGGACCAAAUAACAGCAACGUUGGGUAUUCAGAGGACCACUAACCUGGGCAUGUACCUUGGGGUGCCCCUCCUCCAUACCAGAAUGGUCAAAGACAACUUCAGUUUUCUUAUUGACAAAGUGAGAAAGAAACUUUCGGGGUGGAAAAUCAACACUCUUUCCUUUGCCGGCAGAGUUUCCCUUGCCCAAAGCUGUCUUCUUAGUUUGCCUACGUAUGUGAUGCAAACAACACCUAUUCCAAUAGGUAUUUGCAAGGAGAUUGAGAAACUUUGUAGAAACUUUAUUUGGGGAUCCACUGUAGACAAGAGAAGAUGUCACUUGAUCAAUUGGGAAACUAUGUGUUCUCCUAAAGAUCAAGGGGGACUUGGAUUUCGUAAUCUGCAGGUGUUGAAUCAAGCCUACAUGGCUAAGUUAGCUUGGGGGAUCCUGACUGAUAUGAAUUCUCUCUGGACUAAGGUAUUCAGAGCUAAAUACAAUUUUAAUCCUUGCCUCAGAAAUCCUCCUGUUCCUAAAAACAUAGACUCUCCAACUUGGAAAAGCAUUUGUAAGUCGUGGUUUGUGAUUGAUGGAGCAGUCAUGUGGACUCUUGGUAAUGGAAUAACUGCAUCCUUCUGGAAGGAUGCUUGGAUCCCUAAUGCUGAGCCUCUCAUUGAAUUUCUGCCAGAUGAUAAUCUUGAAGAUUGGGCUGAAAAUACCCCUGUUGCUGGUUUUGUCUCAGAUAAUACCUGGAAUUGGAACCUGCUUACCCAGCUGCUGCCUGCUAAUAUAUGUAGUAGAAUCCGUGCUAUAAACCCCCCUCACCCUAAUAGAGGUGAUGAUAAGCCCUAUUGGGGUCUCACUGCUGAUGGGAAAUUUUUUCUAAGUUCAGCAUCUUCCAUUCUCUUUCCCUCUCAUGUGCAUAAUCCAGAUAAGGUGUUUGAAGUUGUUUGGAGCUUCAGGGGCCCCCCUGGAGCCCAAACCUUACUCUGGAAAAUUUCUCAUGGUAAAAUCUUAACCAAUCUUGAAAGAGUUAAGAGAGGUAUGACUGAUGAUGGGAUCUGUCCAAGAUGUGGAAUAGAAGAGGAAUCCAUUAUCCAUGCGAUUAGAGAUUGUGAAGUGGUCAAGGAAGUGUGGGAAGCCUUUGUAGAGGAAGACAAAUGGAGCUGUUUUUUUCAGUCAAGACUCUACAGACUGGUUACUAUCAAAUUUGGGGAAGGAUUAUGUCCAUAAUAGAGGAAUGAGUUGGCCAAUUCUCUUUGUAUAACUCUAUGGCAGAUUUGGAAAGAUCGUUGUGAUCUUGUUUUCAAUAAGCAUGUUGAUGCCCCUGACUCUCUCACAGUGAUGACAGUUAGCCUUGCCUCUCAUGUGGUUAGAGACCUUUCCCGACCUGACAGGCCUCUUCGUCCUCCCAGAACUGAACGGUUACUCAGUUGGAAGCCCCCCAAACCUGGUAUCUGGAAAAUUAAUUCCGAUGGGUCGGUUUUCCAGGCUAAUUUCAGAGCUGCUUGUGGUGGUCUAAUCAGAGACUCUAAUGGUAGACCCCUAGCAGAUUUUUACUCCCCCCUGGGCCUCUGCUCCACUGUCCGCGCGGAGCUCUGGGGAGUCCUCAAGAGCCUUCGUUUAGCUCUCCCCCUCUCUUUGACCCAAAAAAAAAAAAAAGCUCUCCCCCUCUCUCUUGAUCAAGUCAUGGUGGAAUUGGACUCCAAAACUGCCUAUAGCCUUAUCACUACUAGCUGCCCCAAUGCUCACCCAUGUGCUGAUCUUGUGAGAGAUAUCCAAUAUCUGGCCUCUCUCAACAGGUAUAUUUCCUUCCACUUUAUCUACCGGGAAGCAAUCCGGUGUGCUGAUCACUUGGCCAGUCUUGGCCAUAAUUCCCAGGGAGAAGAAUUUGACAAGGACCAUGUCCCUCGCUCGUUAUUUCCCUUUCUAAAGGAUGAUAUUAUUGGGGUUGCCUUUCCCCGUAUGAUUUUGUAGUUUCUUUGUUCUUUUGGGCUUUGCCCCCAUUUUAUCAAAAAAAAAGAAUUUUCAUCUGUCCAUUUUUUAUUUAUAUUUUUGUUUUUUAUUUUUAAAAACGGAGUUUUUAUUUUUAAAAAAUGGAGGGGUUGAAUAGUAAAUUUAAAGAAUUUAGGGAGUUAAAAAAAUGAAAUAUUUAUUAUGAUUUAAUCCUAACAUUUUAUAAUAAUUUGGUUAAGGAUUAUGUUAAUCCAGAAAUCCUUCAUCUUCUUCAUCAGCACAAAUUCUUCAUCUUUUUCCUCUGCACCCAGAAAUCCUUCAUGUCAAAGAAUGUUCCGUUUCUGCAACUACAACAAAUUUUUCAUCUUUUUUCUCUGCACCCUUCUCACCUAUUUCAGUGCUUUACCUCUCAAAAACCCCAAUUUCCACUUUUAGGGUUCUAUUCAACUCUUCCCUAACAGAUCUGUAACAUGAAUUUCACACUUUUUCCUUCAACCAUGUUAAAGGAUUUCAGAAGAAAAAGAUGGAUCUGAAAACCAAAAUUUCCAUCUAGCCGAUCCGGGUUGGUGGCAGCAGAAAAAUUGAAGGCAGAAACAGAGUAACCAUGAACGCUGCAAAUACACGCCUAAUAUGUGGUGCUGUCCCGCGCCGUAAGCUUGGCCGCAAAGGGUCUCAAGCGCCGUCACCAUUCCGAGCUAAGCUAGAGAGUAAGAGAAGAUCAUGAAUUUGGAAGUGUGAUUGGAACUAGAAGUGAAGGAAAUUAGGGUGUACCAAGAAACCGAAAGUGAUGGAGAUGAGGAGGGUGCAGGAGAUGGAAAAGGCAGCGAGGUCGAGGUCGCUGAGGUGGCCGGCGAAGGACUGAGUGAUGACGGUGAUGGAUGAACAUAGCGAGGCGGGAGAACAUGACUGUGCCAUAGCUUCUUUGAUUCUGAGCAUGCUGAGUGGUGCGGGGAUUUCAGGAACAGAAACAGCUACAACAGGCAGUGCCAAGAGUCUCUGGAUUUGCAUUAGAGUGGAAGGGAGAUGAGGUUUUGCUUUCUGAUUUGGGGUUUGCAUCUGGGUAGUUCCAUCCUUUUCAUUCUCAAUUGAUGUACUAUUGAUUGAGAACUAUUAAGUAAAUAAUGAAAUUAAUAAUAACUUUUAUUUAACAGAAAAAAUAAAAAGAUGAAAUGUUUUUUUAAUUACACUAUGGAUUUAUUUAAUUGGUACACAUCAUCUCAUGUAUCAUACCCAAAUUAAGUCUUGUGGUAUGGUAGCAAGCACCAAAUAAAGUACCAAUUUUAAUUUGCGUCAACAAUACGUCAAUCUUUUCAAAAAAAGAAACAAUACGUCCAGCUCGAGUUGAUUACUGAUUCCAGUUGGAUGGUUCGACGAAAUUCAUCUACUAAUCCUUACAAGUGAAAAUGGUGUGAGUCUAUAUAUAUGUAAGGUUUGCGUGAGGGAAUUAUAGUGAAAGACACCAUCAAAAUACAAUACAAUUCUUCCUAAUUAACAUGGGAAGAUACGUGAGUGGUGCUGCUGCAUGUUUAGUCCUUCUCUUCCUGGCUGAAAUUGCACAAGUGUGUUUCUUCUUGUGUGCAAAUUCAAGCAGUGUCGUUGUCCCUCCUUGCAUAGGACGAGAGAGGCAAGCUCUUCUUGAGUUCAAAGCUUCCUUUCAAAGUUAUCCAUCAUUCAGCAGACUUUCCUCAUGGAAAGAAACUACUAAUUGUUGCGAAUGGGAAGGCAUAGCCUGUGACAAUGUCACUGGACAUGUUGUCAAGCUUGAUCUCAGGAAUUAUUGUGUGUCGUUGCCAUAUAGGUGGCUGGAUUAUGAUUAUACCUUACAUGGGUGUGAAUACUUUGGGGAUGAUUCUCUUUCUCGUGCAUACGCUCCAAAUGUGAAUCCAUCUUUACUGCAGUUGGAAUACUUGACUUAUUUGGACUUGAGCGGAAAUCAUUUCAAUUCAAGUCCAAUACCAAGCUUCAUUGGUUCUAUGCAAUGUUUGAGGUAUCUUUCUCUCUCGGACUCUUCUUUUGGUGGGAGGAUUCCGAAUAGCCUUAGAAAUCUCAAGAACCUGCACCUACUUGAUCUCAGUGGAAAUCAUUUUGAAGCCAAUAACAUCACUUGGCUUUCUCAACUUCACUCACUCAAACACCUUGACUUGAGUUAUAUUGACUUGGGGAACACACAUGAUUUGUUCCAGGUACUCAACAUGCUUCCUUCCUUGUUAAAUCUUAGCUUGUCGGACUGUGGACUUGAAAACUCCCUCAUUCCUCUCGGUGCUAAUUUCCAAAACUUGACAUCUCUUGUCCAUCUUGAUCUUUCAUUUAAUGAGCUUCAUGGUCCACUCCUUGAUGCUUUCAGAAACUUGUCUUCCAUUGAAUCCCUCCGUCUUUCUAGGAACAAUUUCGCUUCUGUUCCAUCAUGGUUUCAUGACUUUAACAAACUCGACUCAAUUGACCUUUCAGAAAAUGGGAUCCAUGGUCCAAUUCCUGAUGGUGUGUUUCAGAGCAUGCCAUCACUCGAGUAUCUUGGUCUUGUGGGUAAUGAGCUAAGUGGUCCAAUUCCAGAGGCUUUCCGAAACUUGACUUCCCUUAAAUCCCUUCAACUUAAUGACAACAAUAUCACUUCAAUUCCGUCCUGGUUUCGUAACUUUGAGAAGCUUACAUUUCUUGAUCUUUCAUACAAUGGGCUUCAUGGUCCAAUUCCUGAUGGUGCGUUUCAAAGCAUGCCAUCACUUGUGGAUCUUGAUCUUUCGGUUAAUGAGAUAAGUGGUCCAAUUCUUGAUGGUGCACUACAAAACAUGUCAUCACUUGUAUCUCUUGAUCUUUCAAUGAAUAGGCUCAGCGGUCCGAUUCCUGAGGCUUUUCGAACCAUGACUUCCAUUAAAUCCCUUUUCCUUAAUGACAACAAUAUCACUUCAAUUCCAUCAUGGUUUGUUGAGUUAAAGACACUUCUCUACCUUGGCCUUUCAUCAAAUGAAUUUACUACAACCAAAUGUUCGCUUUCAUCAAUUCUCAGUAACAUGUGUCAUCUAAAGGAGUUAUAUUUCUCAGGGAACAAGUUCCGAGAAGAAUCAAUUGCAAAGUACCAAUUAUCUGGAUGCAACAAAUAUGAUCUAGAGGUAUUGCAUUUGUCUAAUAAUGAGAUCAGUGGUCGCUUGCCAACUUGGUUGGGGCAACUUGUGAAUUUAGAAUAUCUUGAUCUCAGUUCAAAUUUUUUCUCUGGACCCAUUCCCUUAUCUCUAGGAAAACUAUCAAAGUUGAGAGACCUAGACCUUUCAAACAAUUCUUUUCAUGGUCUCGUUCCUCAAAGUCUCAAUCAACUUGUCAAUUUAACACAGUUAGAUCUUUCUUCAAACAAGUUGGAUGGCUUAUUUUCUACAAAAGACGAUUGGUCUUCAGUUAUGCCCGAUUUGCAGUAUUUGAAUCUCGCCAACAACCAAAUCAGCGGUUCACUUCCAAAAAAUAUUGGAUAUACAAUGCCUUCUUUGAGGCAGUUACUUCUUGGAAAUAACCACUUAAAUGGUUCAAUACCAAUCUAUUUAUGUGAAACUAUGUUGUUCAAUCUUGAUCUUUCAAAGAACAACUUAUCUGGUGAAAUCCCAAAUUGUUGGAAUAGUCAACGAGAUUGGGUAGAAAUAAAUUUGUCAUCAAACAAAUUAUCUGGCGUGUUUCCAAGCUCAUUUGGGAAUCUUUCCGCAUUGAAAUGGUUGCAUUUAGACAAUAACAUGCUUCAAGGUGAACUUCCAGUGUCUUUGAGAAAUUUGAAGAAUUUGUUGAUUUUGGAUCUUGGUGAGAAUCAAUUUUCAGGGAGCAUACCACCAUGGACUACAAACACAUUUCCUUCACUGCAGAUUCUUAGACUGCGGCAAAACAUGUUGAGUGGUAGCAUUCCUUCACAAUUAUGCCAACUUACAUCACUGCAAAUUUUGGACCUUUCUCGUAACAAAUUAGAAGGUUCAAUUCCUCGGUGCAUAGGAAAUCUUCAAGGAAUGGUGGCAAUGGGCACGGCUCCCGCUCCCGAUCCCGAUCCCAUAGGAAUUGUCGCAGCUGUACCUGGACCUGGAUGGUCCUCUGAAGCUGUAAAAGAAGUCAUGAAAGGAGUUGAAAGCGAGUACAUCAAAAUCUUGAAGCUUGUAGUCAACAUGGACUUGUCAGAAAACAAUUUGGUUGGAUCCAUUCCUAAUGGAAUAACCAGGCUCAUAGGAUUGCAUGGCUUGAAUCUGUCAAACAAUCAUUUGAAAGGAGAGAUCCCUGAGAUGAUAGGGGAGAUGAAAUCAAUUGAGUCUUUGGACCUAUCUAAUAACCAUCUGUCAGGCCCAAUUCCAAAUAGCAUGUCUGCUUUGACUUCAUUGAGCCAUUUAAACUUAUCACACAAUAAUCUUUCAGGACCAAUUCCUAAAGGUAACCAACUUUUAACUCUGGAUGACCCAUCUAUUUAUGAUGAAAACCCUUAUCUUUGUGGAUCCCCACUACCAAAUGAAUGUCCUGGUGAUACUUCGCAUCAAGCUCCUAAAAGCAAAAAUAAUGAAGAUGAAGAUGACAAGAAAGAUAAGGUGGAAAAAGUAUGGUUCUACUUUGUCAUAGCAGUUGGCUUUGCAACUGGUUUUUGGGGAGUUAUUGGCACAUUAUUGUUCAAGAAGACAUGGAGGCAUGCUUACUUCAGAUGGGUGGAAGAUGUAGCUGACAAGAUUUAUGUGGCAGUUGUGAUCAAAGUUGCAAAGCCAAUGAUGAGAAACCACAGUCACGGGUAACGUUAUGUUUCUUCUAUAUAUUUCUAUUUCAUUUUCUAAAACUGAUUGUGAAUACAUAGAUUCUUUUAUUGAAUGGUUCUGGUGUCCUCACAUGCUCAUUAUAUUCAACAUUAUUUUAUGUCAAUUGCAUAGAUAAUGAAUCAAAUUUCUUUGGCAGAUGAUAGUGAAGAAAGUUGCAUACCAGACGAUGUUGGCAAGCUGGCUCAGGAUUGCUUUUGUGUUUGUUGUUUUGUUUUUCCUCUUUAUGUGCUUUUGUCCUUUCUGUUUUUGCCUUGGUGGUCCAGUCUCUGUUGCCUGGCCCCUUAUGCGAUGUGUGUAUGCAUGAGAUUUUAUCUCAUGGAACCUUCAUUUAUUCAAUAACAUGUUCCUCUUUCAAAAAAAAAAGUGAUCUGGAGAAGGAGGCACAGAAAUAAGUGUGGGAAAAUAAUGCCCUUUGAAAGAAGAAAAGAGCAUAUAUAUAUAUAUAAACAACUUGUGGUGUUACAUUUAAAUUUGUAUUACUUUUUUACCAUGAUUGCCUUCACUGGAUUUGUACUAUACAUUAUAGGGGCUCAAAAUCCCUGCAGAUGAAUAAUAAUGUUUUACUAUGGAG